CCUACGGGAGGCAGCAGUGGGGAAUAUUGCACAAUGGGCGAAAGCCUGAUGCAGCGACGCCGCGUGAGGGAUGACGGCCUUCGGGUUGUAAACCUCUUUCAGCAGGGAAGAAGCGAAAGUGACGGUACCUGCAGAAGAAGCGCCGGCUAACUACGUGCCAGCAGCCGCGGUAAUACGUAGGGCGCAAGCGUUGUCCGGAAUUAUUGGGCGUAAAGAGCUCGUAGGCGGCUUGUCACGUCGGGUGUGAAAGCCCGGGGCUUAACCCCGGGUCUGCAUUCGAUACGGGCUAGCUAGAGUGUGGUAGGGGAGAUCGGAAUUCCUGGUGUAGCGGUGAAAUGCGCAGAUAUCAGGAGGAACACCGGUGGCGAAGGCGGAUCUCUGGGCCAUUACUGACGCUGAGGAGCGAAAGCGUGGGGAGCGAACAGGAUUAGAUACCCUGGUAGUCCACGCCGUAAACGGUGGGAACUAGGUGUUGGCGACAUUCCACGUCGUCGGUGCCGCAGCUAACGCAUUAAGUUCCCCGCCUGGGGAGUACGGCCGCAAGGCUAAACGUUAAAUGAAUUGACGG
rnacentral:rRNA from 1 species